GAUGAUGUCCUCUAUUCAUCAGUCAACCCAGGAGCCACUGGAUCUGAGGAACCCACAGAAAUCACAUAUUCCAUUAUUCCAUUAAAAAAACUCAGAAAAAAGAACAGACAUUGUGAACCAGAGGAUAGUGUUAUUUACUCUGAAGUGAAACCAGGAGCUGCAGGUACAGUCAGUCUUUACAUAUCCAUAUAUAUAGGUUCUAUACAUUAUACUACCUAUAAAAUG